CCUACGGGUGGCUGCAGUGGGGAAUAUUACACAAUGGGCGCACGCCUGAUGCAGCGACGCCGCGUGAGCGAUGAAGGCCUUCGGGUCGUAAAGAUCUGUCCUAAGGGAAGAAUAAUGCCGUUACCUUAGGAGGAAGCCCGGGUAAACUCCGUGCCAGCAGCCGCGGUAAACGUGAGGGGCAAAGGGUUAUCCGGAUUCACGGGGCGAAAAGGGUGCGUGGGCGGCCCUUAAGGUGAGGAGUUAAAUUCCUGGGUUAAACCGAGGACAGCGUUUGAAACUGUAGGGCUUGAGUGCAGGAGAGGAGAGCGGAAUUCCUAGUGUAGCGGUGAAAUGCGUAGAUAUUAGGAGGAACAUCAGUGGCGAAGGCGGCUCUCUGGACUGAAACUGACGCUGAGGCACGAAAGCGUGGGGAGCGAACAGGAUUAGAUACCCCUGUAGUC
rnacentral:rRNA from 1 species